AAAAGAGGACUAUAGAGGAGGACUAUGGAGGAUCUACACUACCAUCGUAUAUUCAUUCACGUCUAUAUAUAUGUAAGAAGAUCCUGAGAAGAAAGGGCCUUGAUGUCUGUUUUCAGCUAUAAAAAUCAUUCGCUUGUGUCGACGAGUUCCUUGCUAGCAGAAAUUAUACAACUUCACAGUUUACAACAAAAGCGAACAACACAACCACAACAGAAAGCGAAAAAAAAAAAGACUGCCAAGGUAAAACCAACCAAGGACUACCUAAGGGCCAUGAUUGAUUCUAAAGGCUGAAAGGCAUAAUAAUAGGCAAGUAUUAAGAUAAUAUAGUAGGGGAUUUCUUACUUUAAUAUUACAGUAUAAGUAUAAGAGCAAGAUACUUGCUCUCAAUGAUAAAUCUGUAAAGAAAACAUUUAUCUAUCAACCUAACAUAAUGAGGAAAGGGAAAAUGUUAGGAGAGUGUUGUUGCAUUAUUGUUAUUUUUUUAUCAAAGAUAUACUCCCAUUUCUUCCUUU